UGCUUAUAAAACAGCACUUGAAGCGAGGCAGCAGAGGCUACCGGGAAGCGGUGGGCGAUGAGAUUUUAAUGUGUUCCAUGCUGUGAGCCCAUCCUGACUGUCUGAAGAGCUUUGUUCUCAGGCCCCCAAUUAUUCAGUUUCUCAAUCUUCCCCCAUCACAGAAAACACAUCUCAUUUCUCAGACCCAGCCUCAGGCUCCUUUGUGACAACCUUCAUUUUCUGGGCACAGCUUGGUGGCAGCUGGUUUGGGGAGGGAUGUGGAAGGGAGGAGAACAAUGGCUGAGGUUAGAGAGGUGAGUGGCAUCGCACCUGCAGAGUCAGAAGAGCCACACUGAAGUUCCCUUGUGAGGACAAUAUCUGGCUUUUACGUCAAAGGGAUCUUGAUGGCUAUGGCAUCUCAGAACAACAGUCUAAAAAUCCCUCCUACUGAGUUGAAGGAAGCACAGUAAAGUUUUUGGAGAGAGCUGGGGGUCCUAGGGGAAGGAUGUCUAUAAUCUAAUUAUUCGCAAGGAGAUGAGCAUUUUCUAGGAUGGAAGACCAAGCUAUGGGCAUCUGAUUGGGAGUAGACCAGAAUCCUAGAGAAGAUAUUCUUAGUGGCCAUUGAUUGGUCAUUGGUACAGCCAUUGACUUCAAGUUUGACUUGACAAAGGUAGCAGUUUUUUGUCUUUGGUGUCUCUUCCUGUGAAGGUGUCACUUCUCCACAGCCCCACAGGUGCUGCCUUGGCCCAUGCCCCCAUCAUUCCUCCCCUAGACUAGGGUGAGUCCUAACAGCGUCCUGACCUCUGGCUGCAGCCUCAUCUAGCCCUCCUCCCCACAGCCACCACCAUCAGAAUCUUUCCAGAAUGCAAACCUAAUUGUGCAAUACUCUCCUGCUCAAAAAUAUUCCCUAGAUAACAUUUUCAGAAUGCUAGAUCAGCAUACAUAUUCAUCGAAAAAGCACCGAAAAGACAUCUGACCAAAUGUUAACAGCAAUUAUUUUGUGUAGUAGGUUUGCAUAUGAUUGCUUUUUCUUUACACUUUCUUGGUAUUCAAGUUUUCUGCAGUGAGCUUAAGAUAAAUAUUGUUUAUUUUCUAGGCAUGAAAAUAUCAUCCAGAAAAAAUAAAAGAAAUCCUGCACAGAACAAAGUCCAAAUGUCUUAGCUUUGCAUUAAGCCCACCCAGAGCUUCAGCAUAUCUUUUCAUGUUCUUGUUCCACUACAAUUCACAGGUCAGUCACACAAAAGCUGUUUCCUACCAAAAAUGUAGUCCCCUCUCCACCAUCACUACUAUCACUUUCCCUACUGCUUAUACUCCCAUCCUCGCCAUAGCUUUUCUUGCUUAUAAAACUCCUAGUCAUGCACUGAGGGCCACGCAAAUGUACCUUCUCUAGAAACCAUCAUCUCUUUACUCAGCAGUUAUUGUUUUCGCCACUCUGGGCUCGUCAUACCUCUUGCUAAUAUUCUCUGCAUUAGAUUACAAGGGAUGCAAUUAUCCCUUCUCUAAAUGAGGAAACCAAAGCCCGGUAGUAGCCAGCAGGUGAUAUAGCCAGGACCAAUCCUAGGGUGUCUGGCUCUUCAGCCUCUGCUAUUUAACUACUACACAAUAGAGCUUUAAAGCAGUUGCUACUGUCCCAGAAUGUAAACGAGAGCUAUCCCAGUAUGUGAAUUAGCUAUGAGCAUCCUGUGACAUCACUGCAGCUGUUUUACUGUGAUAUGUCCCGCCCUGUUCCCGUCACACAUGUGAGCCCUUUCUUCCCAUGAUAUCGCCUGCCAGUACUGUUGCCCAGCAGAACCCACCAGCACUCACAGUAGCAGACCACAGCAGUUACUGUGAUUGCAAACUUGCCAAGGAGAUAUUGCCUUAAAAGUUGACUUUAGAACAACACUGCUUGAGAUCGUUCCGGUAUUUGCACUCCUCCAUAAACUAUUUCUACAAUAUAUUCACAGAGUAGACAAAGCAAUGCUUUAUUAUUAUCUGGACCUCUGGCCCCAAAUGACUGUGCAGAACUCCACUGAACUGGACUGGACCCCAUGGAGGGCCUGAUUUAUCUCAGCUCUCACCUACAACUCUGAAAUUUGAAUUUCCACUCUGCUCGGACAAGGAGUUGCUCUGAGAUGAAAAACCAGAAACACAGGGCCAAAGAAAGCAAAAUGCUGGAGGUGAAGCUGGUCCAGGCCUCUGGCUCAAGGCUGUCUCAGUGUCCCUAGGUUUAGCUGCCCCAUGAGAAGGCGAUAGUUCACAAAGGGCAGGGAGGUGAUAAAGCCCAUUGUCACCCAAGUCACUGAGGUGGAGGAGGAAGAAGUGACCAGACACCAUGGAGUGACGCAGGCAGAAGCAUUAGGGAGGAGGAUGACCACCUCUUUUGGGGAAGAAGAUUUAAAACCUGGUCUAUCAUCCAUUAUGUUUCACAGAUUUCCCUAAAGGAGGAAAGAACAGGACUGUAGAUUUAGAACCAGGAAAGUACUUUCAUGAUGCCAAGGAUCUGAACUCUUCUAUUGAAAAACAAGUGUGCCCACUCAACAGCCAUAGGCAGCAUCUGUCAGCCACAAUCUAGGCUAAUUUGCAAAAUGAGCCUUGAAAGGAAGGUCUUGGACUUGCUAGAAUCCCAUGAAGCAGGUUGAUGAAGCAGCAAACAAUAUGAAGAUCAAGGGGAAGAGCAUUUGAGACAAAGGGAUCAGCAAACAUAGAAACCCUGACACCAGAACAAGCUCACUAUGUUUGCAGAACAGAAACACCACCACCCCAGCUGCAGACCGAUGAGUGAGAGAGGAGUGGCAGAGGCUGAGUCAGAAAGGAUCUAAAAACACUUUGAAGGCUGCAUAGGACAUUGCAAGAUGAGACACACCACCACACGGACCAGUUCCCCACAGAUCUGCAUCAUUUAAAAAAUGAUCUGUUUGGCAAUCAGCACAUACUUCUCCUGCCUCAUGAACAGAGGGUUCUCAUCGGCAAGAAGUUGAAGCUGUUCAUUUUUAAAGACUUCUCCCUCUCAGCUUGAUUCUGCAUGCUCAAGGUUGUCUGGGGUCCCAAGCAAUCAGAAAUGAUUUGUGUCAAAGAGCGCAUUACAAGAAUCAUUUGUCACUUCUGGUUCGUGUCUGAAUUUGAAGAAUGAUGCUGGGGAGUGAUCUGAAGGCAUGAUGUGAGGUGUUGUUAUGAUGAGUAGCAAAACCAUUAUGUUAACCUUCUUGGGAGCUGAGCUCUGGGGUUCAAUUUUGACAGCGUGUAGCAAGGGCAGAAAUUUCCAGCCCCCACAAUGAGAUGGACUGGGAAGUAUUACGAAUACCUCCCCAUGAGAAUAGCUUAUGAUUAAAUGACAAUCUUCUCAAAAGAAAAUUAGAAUCAAAGUGGCACAAAGCAGCCUGGAAUGAUUUUUGGGGAACAGCUGGUUUAGCCCUUCACCUUACAGAGAAAUAUUGAGGUGCAGAGAGCUUUUGUGACCUUGUGGCCACAAAGUUAACUUUCCUGUUGAUUAGAUAGUGUCUUCAUCUUGCAAAAGCUGACAAGUGGGUUUAGAAUAUUGAUCUCGGAAUUUAGAACACCCAGUUCUAGGCGCAGCUUAUUCUCCAUCUGGCUAUGACUUCUGCAAGACAAUCCACUUCUUUGCAUUUCCAUCUGUCUCCCUGAAAGAAGACAUUGGUGAUUCCCCAGGUCUCCUACAACUCUGAAAUUUUAUGAUUCCGGGCAAUCCAUGGGGCAGACUUUUUAUCCUUAUUUGACAGGUAAGAUAACUAAAUUCCAGAAAUCUGGAAAAGCUUCUCAGACAAGGCCUUUUAUUUGAAUCUUGUGACACAACUAGAUUUCUUUUAAUAGAUAGAGAAGAUGUCAUGGCCCUGUAAGUCAAGAGAACAGGAUGGCCAAAGCAAGAAGAAAAGGGUAGGGCACUUUAAGAAAAUUUCAUAUACUUGAUUAUGGCUACAUAAUAGAAUGUGAGAGACAGGACAGAGGAAGAGCAUACUGAAACACAGCUUAUUUUUUUCCUUUCUUUCUUUCUUUCU